UACGUAGGGUGCGAGCGUUAAUCGGAAUUACUGGGCGUAAAGCGUGCGCAGGCGGUCUGUUAAGACCGAUGUGAAAUCCCCGGGCUUAACCUGGGAACUGCAUUGGUGACUGGCAGGCUUUGAGUGUGGCAGAGGGAGGUAGAAAUUCCACGUGUAGCAGUGAAAUGCGUAGAGAUGUGGAGGAAUACCGAUGGCGAAGGCAGCCUCCUGGGCCAACACUGACGCUCAUGCACGAAAGCGUGGGGAGCAAACAGG
rnacentral:rRNA from 1 species